UAUCAUCUGUGAGUACCGAGCAGUCAGCCGUGUGCAUCGAACCUCUCUCCCUUUCUCCUCAUCUCGCGUGCGCCUAUGUCCCGAGCAAUCUCCGCCGCCACUCCACCGUCCUUGGUCCUUGCCGGCAUCCAGCAAUCUCGCUCCGCAUACGACGCUCCGGCGGAAUCCCUUGCCUAACCCGCAUCCACGCGCCUCCAAUCGUGCAGCUUCGGUAGCUCUAGUUGCCGGCCGGUGUCGACAACGACGGGGCCCGGCCUCGUUGUUUUGCUUGACCUCGGCUAUGGCUUUCCGUCGAUCUACCGGCCGUGGAAGGCGCUGAUCGUCCUCGGCAUCUAGCGCAUCGACGGCUCGCCAUCCACGGUCACGGUCUGCCACCGAGGCCCCCGCCGCGCGCGAGCUCCAGCACCUCUGCUCCGCCGCCGUCUUCGCGGGGUCGCCCGACGGAAGGGAGUCCAUCGACGCGGCCGUCAGCGACGCAUCUGAAGACUGGGAGGGACGUGUCUACGUUCUGCAAGAGCUCGCCCCCCAAGAUCCACCGCGACGGCGCCGUUCAGGAGGAGCUCCUCAUCGACAACAAGGAAGAGGGAUUUCGCUCACCAUCUGCAGUCUGCACGCCAAGUCUUCCGGCAUGAUGCCGGCGCGCCAGAAGCAGCCGGAGGCCUCGGAUACAAUAACCAGGGGAGGUACUGGUUGAGCUACACUGGUAGCUUCACCCGCAUGCUGAAGGAUCUGGACAUGCCGAGCGACGUUUCUCUUAAAUAGAUCUACAUGAGUAAUUCAGAAAGAGGCAUGCAGAUCUUUGAGAGCCAUCCUUUGUUGCACAUCAACUCCGUGGCUCUCUCAUUACGUCAAAGGUCUUGUUAUUCUUGACAGGCUGCAUGAGAACACGUGCUCAAACUGUUGCAAAGAGGAAUUGGGAAUUCAGCAAGGGAGGAAGGAAGAAGGUUGUAGUGGUAUUACAACAUUUCAUAGUGUUGGUCAUAUGACAGAAGAUGGUGCUCUUGGUAUAUGUGUAUGCUGAUCAAAAGGGCAUGGGCUCUGUCCUGGCCAUUUCCUCGUACGUGCUUGCCAGGAACAAUGACGCACCCGCUGCUGCCAUGCCAGCCGGUUGAUCCGGUAUAAGAACUUCAAGGAAGGACACAAGAGGAUACUUGUGGCUACAAAUUUAGUUGGCGGCAAAAUUGAUGUUGUCCAUGCUCUGACUCUGAUGUUCUCAAUCAGGUUGUUCGGGAGACAACUUACCCAUGGUGUUGGUGUUGUCUAAAAUUGUGAAGCUCACAUACCGAAGUAACUAGGUCCUAACAAGCGACGCAUCAUACAGUAGAACAUCGUCUAGAGCAUGGAGCUCCUGGAGCUAGGCGAAAGAAGCAGCGCUGCGGCGUGACACAUAUGUCGGUGGCCUGGUAUCCAACCUUUAGGUGGUGGAGUUGUUUGUGUGCAUGGCCAAGAACAGGAGCAUCUGAUUUCCUCCUUCACAUCUGACCUGGCUGGCCUCCCUCAACUUAUCAUUGCACAUCAGCUAAAGUAAGAAGAAGAUGAACAAGACUUGGAAGGAUGAGACAUCACAGCUAGAUCCUUUCUAUGAAUGUUAUACUAUUCCGGUCCUUGUAGUGUGAGUACUAGUUGACAUUUUUAAGCAUCGUUGUUAUUGUAAUGCUUCCAAUCAGGACCUGUAAGUGCUUCCGUUGACAUGUUUAUUUUUGAACUUGAGGUUAUGGUUGGUUAGGCUUAUGAAGGAGUUGGCUAUAGUAUACACCUUAAAUCUAGUUUACUGGAUUGGAUGGAAAUUAACCGGUGGUGGUCUGUUUGGAUUUCGUACAAAGAGGAGGAACAGAAGAGAAGAAUGUUCCAGCCACAGUUGAGAUUUUUGCAAAUGAGUUACAAUGGCUGCUUGUUCGGGCCGUGAGAUUUUCAUUCGAGACGGACUUGCUCUUGAAAUUGAUGGAUGCUACAUGGUGUAGCGAUGUGGGUGAUGGAUGUGUCCUGGAAGUUUCAGGGUAACUACUGUAGAUGUGUAUCGUCAGAUCUACAAGACUAUAUUUUGAUGACUAGCUGAUGUUUUGUUGAGCUAAACACGGCAGUGGCUGCGUAUGGUGUUGGUUCUUGUAGCUAACUAGCUAGCUUUGUUAUAUUUACUUUGUCACAAGUGUGUGUGCGCCCAAUUCUGUUGUAAUUUUGCAUUAGAUUAUCGACAUAAGCUUUGAAAGCAUGAGACGUAUGUAUAACUGGUCCCCUUUGUUUAUGGAAAUUUCAUUUGCCGAUGCUA